UGUGCCUCCAAUUGCAGGGCGGUGCUCUCCCCAACCCUUGGGGUGUCAUGGUCUACUCUGCAAGCACACAGCAGACAAAUUCGGGAAAAUGUGUCAUCAAGUUCAAGUUUUCAUCUAGUGUGGAAGGAGCUUCUUGCAGCACGGCACUGAAUGUGAGCCACCGGGAAACAUCGCCACCUAAGAAGUUACUUUCAGCAUCCCAAGACAAACGCAUCUUGGAGCCGACGGCUUCGACUCUGCAGUCUCCACACGGC
rnacentral:lncRNA from 1 species